GAUGAACGCUGGCGGCGUGCCUAAUACAUGCAAGUCGAGCGAACGGACGAGAAGCUUGCUUCUCUGAUGUUAGCGGCGGACGGGGGAGUAACACGUGGAUAACCUACCUAUAAGACUGGGAUAAAUUCGGGAAACCGGAGCGAAUACCGGAUAAUAUUUUGAACCGCAUGGUUCAAAAGUGAAAGACGGUCUUGCUGUCACUUAUAGAUGGAUCCGCGCUGCAUUAGCUAUUUGGUAAGGUAACGGCUUACCAAGGCAACGAUGCAUAGCCGACCUGAGAGGGUGAUCGGCCACACUGGAACUGAGACACGGUCCAGACUCCUACGGGAGGCAGCAGUAGGGAAUCUUACGCAAUGGGCGAAAGCCUGACGGAGCAACGCCGCGUGAGUGAUGAAGGUCUUCGGAUCGUAAAACUCUGUUAUUAGGGAAGAACAUAUGUGUAAGUAACUGUGCACAUCUUGACGGUACCUAAUUAGAAAGCCACGGCUAACUACGUG
rnacentral:rRNA from 1 species